rnacentral:rRNA from 1 species
AGUGAACGCUGGCGGUAGGCCUAACACAUGCAAGUCGAACGGCAGCACAGUAAGAGCUUGCUCUUACGGGUGGCGAGUGGCGGACGGGUGAGGAAUACAUCGGCAUCUACUUUUUCGUGGGGGAUAACGUAGGGAAACUUACGCUAAUACCGCAUACGACCUACGGGUGAAAGCAGGGGAUCUUCGGACCUUGCGCGAUUGAAUGAGCCGAUGUCGGAUUAGCUAGUUGGCGGGGUAAAGGCCCACCAAGGCGACGAUCCGUAGCUGGUCUGAGGGGAGGAUCGGCAAAACUGGAACUGAGACACGGCCCAGACUCUUACGGAAGGCAGCGGUGGGGAAUUUUGGACAAUGGGCGAAAGCCUGAUCCGGCCAUACCGGGUGGGUGAAGAAGGCCUUCGGGUUGUAAAGCCCUUUUGUUGGGAAAGAAAAGCAGCAGGUUAAUACCCCGCUGUUCUGACGGUACCCAAAGAAUAAGCACCGGCUAACUUCGG